AUACGUAGGGGGCGAGCGUUGUCCGGAAUGAUUGGGCGUAAAGGGCGCGUAGGCGGCGCGGUAAGUCUGGAGUGAAAGUCCUGUUUUCAAGAUGGGAAUUGCUUUGGAUACUGAUGGGCUUGAGUGCAGGAGAGGUUAUCGGAAUUCCCGGUGUAGCGGUGAAAUGCGUAGAGAUCGGGAGGAACACCAGUGGCGAAGGCGGGUAACUGGACUGCAACUGACGCUGAGGCGCGAAAGUGUGGGGAGCAAACAGGAUUAGAUACCCUGGUGGUCCACACUGUAAACGAUGAAUGCUAGGUGUAAGAGGUAUCGACCCCUUUUGUGCCGGAGUUAACACAAUAAGUAUUCCGCCUGGGGAGUACGGCCGCAAGGUUGAAACUCAAAUGAAUUGACGGGG
rnacentral:rRNA from 1 species